UUUUUUUGUUUUUUGUUUUUUUCCAAUAUCUUGCUAUCUCAUUCUGGUCUCUUACUUGCAUUUAUUUGCUCUCUGCAGGAUCAAAAUGCCGGAAACCUUUGUUGUUCACCUCGGAAACAGCAAAGAGCUCAUGGAAGUUGCUGAAGACACUGUAGCAAAAAGGGUUUUGCGUGAGCAUGUUCGGGAGUCUCUUGGAGUACGAAGUGAAGACUUACUAUUUGCCAUCAUAAACAGUAUGUGUUCGGAGCUGAUUUGGUCAUGUCUCUGAUUUAAAUUGUUGAGUCUUGUCCAGUGACCAGUUAUAAUUGGCCAGUGCAGUGACUUCACUAUUGCUUAUUUGUCUAUUCUGCACACUGAAUUAACCUGUUCUACUAUUUUUUUGUCUUUAUUCUGUCAUUUGUAGUAUGCAUCUAAAACUUGUGGUUAUAUCCAUGAGGAAAAGAAAAGAGUCUCUAAUUAAUUUAUCCAUAUCCCUUUUGAGUUGAUUACAAUUGAUGAUUACAGGUGUUUCGCGUGGAAAAGGCCAGGAUCUAUUUCUGCGUUCAUUCUAUGAAAGCGUGAAAUUGGUCCAAGAGAAGAAGCUGCAACUGCCAAAAAUGCAUGCAGUUGUUGUGGGUAGUGACAUGACUGCUCACACCAAGUUUGAGUCUGAGUUGCGUAACUUCGUAAAGAUGAAGAAAAUUGAAGAUCGUGUUCAUUUUGUAAACAAAACACUGACUGUAGCUCCAUAUCUAGCUGCCAUUGAUGUCCUUGUGCAAAAUUCUCAGGUAUGGAAUAUUAUUCAUUUAUUAAUGAAUUAAUUUAUUGGUUUCAAGAACUACAUGUACAAGAAGCACAAAAUGCAUAAAAGGCAUUGAAAUGAUUGUUGUUGGAAUUACAUAGAUCUCAAUUAUAUCAUCCUUCUUCAACUUAUAAUCCGUUUUGUGGCCCUUCCAUAUAGGCACGGGGAGAAUGCUUUGGUAGGAUAACUAUUGAAGCCAUGGCAUUUCAGCUGCCUGUACUGGUAAUGAAUCUACAAGAUUCCUCUUGAUAUGCCUAAUUAUCUUGUAAGUUCUCUUUUGUAUUGUAGCUGCUAAUCUUGUUUUCAAAUGGAAAAAUUUGCCAGGGAACAGCAGCAGGUGGAACCACAGAGAUUGUAGUGAAUGGAACAACAGGUCUCUUGCAUCCUGUCGGGAAAGAAGGGGUUACACCUCUUGCAAAAAACAUUGUUAAACUUGCCACUCAUGUUGAGAGGAGGCUUACAAUGGGGAAGAGAGGCUAUGAAAGGGUCAAAGAAAGGUUUUUAGAACAUCACAUGGCAAAUAGAGUUUCUGGGGUUCUGAAGGCAGUGUUACAGAAGUCAAAGAGCCACUCAGAUGCCUGAUAGUUAGAGGGUCUUUUUUUUUUUUUUUUUUCUUUUUUUUGAAAAAAGGUUUGGAACCCAACCUUGCUGGGAGGCUCAGCCCCACGCCCGGAAUGUUACUGUCAAGUAGAAUGCCGAAUGAUUCAUUCUAUUGGGGUGAAAUAUACAUGUGUACUUCUCUAGGGAUUUCAGUGCUUAUCAGAAAGAAGAUGAAAUACACUAGAUUAUUAGGACAGUUUCAAUUUGCGAUCAAUUUUUAUGUACAUAUAACACAUCGCUGUUAGCUUUUAUUAUGAAGGUCUAUCUAGGCAGACAUCUUAUUGAAAUGUUUGGCUCCCAUUUUGUUGUUGAUUUUUGUAUCGUGAACAAGUUCAACUUAGGCACAGAACACCACCAUAGCAAUCAAUAUAACAUUAAGUAGAAUCACGACAUUUUGGUAAGAGAAAGAUAACAGACAGUAACCGCUAACAUUUAGAGUUUGAUUACGCAGACUGCAGAGCAAGCAUUUCAGCUAGUAAACCAUGGAUUUCAAGAGGACUUGGGGUGUGAAAAACCAUUUACUGGUUUUGGCUGCUGCUUGAUGUUGGGUUUUGUAAACCAAGUUGUAUACAGAAACUGCUUAUUAGGUCCUACAUGGUUGCAUAUUUGUCUGAGCUUCUGCCUCUCCUUCAUCCACCUCAACACUAUCUUCAUGUGCCUCUUGCUCGUCAGUCCUCUUAAACCAACUUCCUAGUAGAAUUUCGAUCAGACUUUUAGUCAAACAGUUCAUAAGCAUUACCCACAUCAGAGAUAAGUAUAGAGAAAGCUCCGGAUAUAAAAAACUAAUAGAGCUCAAAACAGUAACAAGACUUCCAAAGGGGAGUCGAAUUACCUGAACGUGAUCCCAUGUUUCAGAAAUGGUGAGAGGACCGUGCUCCUUCACGAUAUCAAAGAUGGCCCUAGUGAUGGUCUGUGUCUGCUCAGGUGGAGUUUUGAGCUCUAUCGGUUUCAUCUUCGGUUUCGGUUUUCUCCCAAUGAGCCUUAUUGCUGUUCCAAACAUGUUGACGAAGCCUUUUCUUUUCCUGAACUAUUCUCAGUUUGCUGCAAGAGGUGCUCACCACCUGAAGAGGGAACUGAGAAACAAUGAAAUUAUAUGCAAGUAUUGUCAAGGGCCAGACCAGAGUUUUAUUUUCUAGUAGACAAUUUCAACCCAUAUCCAUUAAUUGUAGUAUUGUACCAAGUAAAAGUAUAGGAAUUCACUUUAAUACCAAGCACAUAGCGAUGCCCAACCCACAAAAUUCUCAUACUCCAAUGUUUACACUUUACAAGAAGCAUAAUAACCAGAUAUGAAAAGAAUGUAUACUAAUAGCUUCUACCAAAGAAACAAAUAACACACAUCCUACACAGUACAACUCAAAGCCUUGAACACAUGUUCUUUCCAUUUCUUCUUUCCCCAAAUUACUACCUCUCAACCUAGAGUAUGUCAUAUCUUCAGCUGUCAGAAUUAGGGGAUUUAACACCUUCAAUUAUCAAGAGGCACAUUCUGAACAUAUUGUUCAUCUACUUGUUCGAAGUUCCUAGCAUGGAUGUAGUUUCCUUAUCAGUUUCAAGUAACUUUAUGGCCUCCACCAACUUUUGCUUGACAAUUCUUGUUCCAGAAUCACACAAUGAGCCUAUACUGAAAACAUUGUUCCCUUCUUGCAUCAGCUCACUCAGGCGCAGAGACUGGGCAGAGUUUGCCCUUUCACACGAAGGCUCACAUAAACCACUACUCAUCACAUUCUGAUUUUUCGCCCCUCGAGUCCAUCUCUUCACUAUGUAUUGGGCUGGUAUGCUCGUGAUGUUCUUAAGAUCCAAUACUUUCAGGGCAUGACGACAAAGCACUCCCAUGGAUUCAAACAACUUACAAGAACAACAAAUCGUCGAAGUAGUGGAGUUGUAUUGAAUUAUGUAGACUCUUUGAUGACCUUCUUCAACUGCUUCAUAUACAUAUUGGUAGCCAUCAUUACCAACUUCCAUCAUCCUCACCCCAAAGGUACUUAAAAUCUCAUUUUCAAAGAAUGAAUACAGUUUAAUAGUAUACUCUGCAGCUGCAUGCUUAAAGAUACCCGUGUUCACUCUAAGACGAGGCAUACCAUUUUUACAACGAAAAUCCUCUUCCGCCUGCGCUAAUCUUAAAACUUUUGUUUUUUUCUCAUAAUGCUGUGCCAACCCAAUGAGAUCCAUUGUUGUUGUAGAAAUUUGAUGGAAAGUAGUAUCAAUGUUCUCACCCCUCUGGUCACAUCCGAUAUUGGCUGUGAAAGUGUCUGGGCUAAAAGCUGGAGACCAUUUCUGUCUAAGUAAAUAUAACUUUUUCAGCCACAAAUCAUUCUCAAGGUUGAACUUUUUAACCAUAUCAUCCCACGUAGCUUCAAAUUCUGCUUCGGCGACACACUCAUGAAAACAUUUGUUGAAGCACUCCUUGAACUCAGGAUUAGCAAGGUGACUAGCAAGAUAUUGUGAAGCAUUCUUAGAGAUGUUCCAUGUGCAUAGUCGAUGAUGUGUCCCUGGAAGUAUAACCUCAAUCGCUUUUGCCAUGGCAUUAUCCUCAUCUGUAAAAAUGGUUUUUGGUCGUUUAUCUCCCAUAGAUUCCAGAAAAUUUUCAAACAACCAAGUGAAUGAAUCAGUGCUCUCAUCCAAUAGAAAAGCACAACCAAAUAGGACAUUCUUCCAGUGAUGAUCAACCCCCACGAAUGGAGCACAAACUAGAUUGUAUUUCUUAGUUCGGAAUGUGGUGUCAAAGAGUACAACAUCUCCAAAGCAAUCAUAGUCAAGCCUUGAUCUACUGUCUCUCCAGAAAAAAUUAGUGACACGGUUAUAUUGAUCCACUUUCACACUGUAAAAGAAACUCGAAUCCUCCAGUUGCUGAUGCUUCAAAUAAUCAAGUAAACUUUGUCCAUCCGCUCCUCCGAUCAUGUUUUCCUUCAACCUGUGCAAACAAUCAUGGACACCUUUUUCAGUGAACCCAAACCCUGCAUUAUCAGUACUGCUCAUUUCUUUCUCCAAGUACGAGAGUGUUUUGGUUGGUCUUACACUCGCAUCAACCUUAGAAGAGUUAUAACCAAUGAUAGCUGCACGAACAGUUGAUAUAUGCCGACUUGAUCUUAGAAACUGCCUCUCUUCUGGCUUAGCAAACUCGUGGUUAUGAACCGGAUUGAACUGCACAAUCCUCCAUUUCCCAUCUUCAACAUUGAACCGAACCAUCGCCUUACAACCGGUUCUCGUGUCCAAUCUCCUCACUUUUUUCGCUUCCCCCACCUCCUCAUCUAAUGGAAACCCUUCUUUUGAACAAAAGUAGUCCCGCUGGCGUAGCUUAUUCUGUGCAUCCCUUCUGACCUUCCCUUUCCGGAUACUAAACCCUUUCUUGAAAGCAUAUGUGUUGUAUAACUCGUAAGCUUCAUUUUCAUUCUCUACCACCGUCCCCACUCUUAGCUCAUCACCAUCUCCAAAUGUAUCCUCCUUGUCACCAUUUUCUAACACAUUCCUUUGCCACCCACUAUCCAUUAUCUAAUCAAAGAAGCCUAAUCAUAAACAACAGAUUUUCUAUUACUGUUUUGACAAAACAGGGCAAGCAAAGUUCACAAAUUCAAGUCAAAAAUCACAACUCCAAUACAACAUUCAGAAAAUGAAUUAUUCAUGAAAUUAUCACCAGAAUUGCAUAAAGAACAUAACACCCAGUUUCAUAAAUGACACACCCAUCAAUCCAAAACCCACUCUCAAGCCUAAAAACCCAUGAACCCCAAAACUCAAAUUACAAAAAGCGAGGCAGAAGAGGUACCUGUUCUGCUGACGUCACAAUCGCCGUUCAGAGUUGAGUUAUUUCUGCAAAUUGGGUUAUGGAUUUUGCGGCAGUUUUGUACUAUUUAAUAGACGACCUAAACGCACCGUUUCGUGUUAUGUUCAAAACGCACCGUUUCUUCUCUCUCUUUUGUAAAAUACACACUCAAAAACCUUCCAUAAAGUUUGAACUUUCCAAAUGCAAAACCUCUCCCGCAGAUUCUCAACUCUCCAAGUUCCCAAGCUUUCAACCCCACCGCCGCAACCCAUCAGACCUUUGUUUCAAUACUCGAAGAUUCAGCAUUGCCGGAAAAUCCUUGAGCACAGAAUCAUCACCGUUCUGGAUGUAUGCACCACCCUCACCCAAGCCCAGCAGGUCCACGCUCACGUCAUCGCCAAUGGGCUCAGCCAGUACAGCUACGUCAUCACCAAGCUCAUCCGCACGCUCACCAAGCUCGGCGUCCCAAUGGGGACCUACCCGGAGCUCGUUUUCCGCCGCGUGACGCGCCCCAACCCGUUUCUGUGGGCGGCUAUGAUCAGAGGAUGUGUGAUUGAAGGACAGGUUUCGGAAGCAGUGAGGUUUUAUGGUUUGAUGAGGAGGGAGGGCACGGGUCCGGUUUCGUUCACCUUCUCGUCGUUGUUUAAAGGCUGCGGGAGCGUUGGGGAUGUGAGUUUGGGGCGGCAGGUGCAUGCGCAGACGGUUGUGAUCGGUGGGUUUGCGGCGGAUUUGUACGUGGGGAACACUAUGAUUGAUAUGUACUUGAAAUGUGGGGAGUUGGGUUGUGGGCGGAAGGUGUUUGAUGAAAUGCCUGAGAGAGAUGUGGUGUCGUGGACCGAGCUGAUUGCGGUGUAUGCCAAGAGUGGGGAUAUGGGGUCGGCCAGGGAGUUGUUUGAGGAGUUGAGUUUGAAAGAUAUGGUGGCGUGGACGGCCAUGGUUACGGGGUAUGCGCAGAAUUUGAUGCCGAGAGAGGCGUUGGAUUGCUUUGAGAGAAUGCGGGGCGCUGGUGUGGGGAUUGAUGAGGUUACUUUGCUCGGGGUUGUUUCGGCUUGUGCGCAGUUGGGUGCGUGUAGGUAUGCAAAUUGGGUGAGAGGCAUUGCUGGGGAAUCUGGUUUCGGCCCUGCUGAGAAUGUGCUUGUGGGAUCUGCGUUGAUAGAUAUGUACGCAAAGUGUGGGAGCUUGGAUGAUGCGUACGAUAUUUUCCGAGGAAUGAAGCAGAGGAAUGUGUUUUCGUAUAGCUCAAUGAUUUGGGGAUUUGCAGUGCAUGGAAAUGCCAAUGCGGCAAUCGAGUUGUUUCAUGAGAUGCUGACAACUGAUGUUAUAAGGCCGAACCGUGUUACUUUUAUAGGGGUGCUAACUGCCUGCAGCCAUGCGGGGAUGGUUGAUCAAGGUCGGCAGUUGUUUGCAACCAUGGAGAAGUAUUACAAUGUCACUCCAUCAGCUGAACAUUACACUUGUAUGGUAGACUUGCUUGGUCGAGCUGGUCGCUUGGAAGAAGCUCUCGAGCUAGCUGAGACGAUGCCAAUAGUCGCGCAUGGAGGUGUGUGGGGAGCGCUACUUGGUGCGUGUCGUAUCCAUAAAAACCCCGGCAUUGCUCAAAUUGCUGCAAGUCAUCUAUUUGAGCUUGAACCUAAAAAUAUCGGAAACUACGUGAUGCUCUCCAACAUAUAUGCAUCAGCAGGAAGGUGGGGUGAUGUUUCAAGUGUUAGGAAGCUGAUGAGAGAGAAGGGUCUGAAAAAGAACCCUGCAUAUAGCUGGGUUGAAACAAAGAAUGGAGGUGUCGAAAAGUUUAGUGCAGGUGAUACACGUCACCCCGAUUACGAAGAUAUCAAAAAGGCAUUGGAGGAUCUUCUAAACAGAUUACAGGAUCAUGGUUAUAGGCCAAACCUGAAUUCGGUGGAUUAUGAUGUGGGGGAUGAAGAAAAGAUGCGUAUAUUGAUGGCUCAUAGCGAGAAACUGGCGUUGGCAUACGCAUUGCUCAAUGCAGACACUGGUCCCACCAUUAAGAUCAUCAAGAACAUAAGAAUUUGUGAAGAUUGUCAUGGCUUCAUGUGUGGCGCAUCACAGGUUACAGGAAGGCAUAUUAUUGUGAGAGAUAACAUGAGAUUCCACCACUUCGAAAAUGGGAAAUGUAAUUGCGGCAAUUUUUGGUGAUUGAAGUAUUGUUCAGUCUACUUGACCAAGAUUAUGGUGCAAGAUUUCAUAAGUGGAAAGCUCAUGCAUUUUAGCUGAACUGUGGUUAUGUCUCUCAAAAAUCGUAAAUAUAUAGCUGCCUCAACAUAUCUCAUAUUCCUAACGUGGGACUCAUAUUCCUGAUGUGGGAUUGAUAUCUCAACACGCCCACAUCGGGAAUAUCAUAUCAAAGGUCUCAUAUUCUCGAUGUGAUAUUCCCGAUGUGAAAUUGAUAUCUCAACACGCCCCCGCACGUGUGGUGAAUUUUCAAGCCUAACACGUAGACAACAUUUAGGUGGCGUGGAGUACGUGUGGCCAUUGGGUAACCCUCUCUGAUACCAUGAUAAACCAUGAUAAAGUAGUAUGAGGUUCACAUCUAAAACCAAUUGGCAAUAGAUGGAGAGGCCUAAACCCUUAUAAACCCACAGACAAAGUCUUAUAUUCUCGAUAUGGGAUUGAUAUCUCAACAUCUCAUAGCUAAGGCUGGGAACCAUAUAAUUUUCAAGGCGCCUAGAGCCUUUGAUUGAAGCCUCGAGCAGUUACAUCUCGGUUCGGCACACUUCCCUUUUCUAUGAGGUGAAUAAUUAUGCCAUUAACUGGGUGAAACAAACUUCCCUUUUCUAUGAGGUGAAUAAUUAUGCCAUUAACUGGGUGAAACAAGAUCAGUAGACGGCAGAGUACAAACUCAAAAGGCACAUAUCAACAUAAACAUUCCAAAUCCUUCCCUUACAACCUCGUGGACCUUAUUCACAGCACUGCUGAUUAUACCUAUUAGAAGUACUAUAGGUGCUUUAUCAGCUUAUUCAAAGAGCUAAUCAACAAGCAUCUACAUACGCAUAUAUAACUAUAAGAUAGUUUUUGAUCAUGAUUGAUCGAUUUAGUGGUGGCCGGGAAGCUUCUCUUUGAUCUUGUCCAUCAUUCCCUUCUCCUGGUGUUGGCCACCACCGUAAGGUGUAGUAGUCGCACCGUAGGGAUCGUCGGACCUGUGCUUUCCACCUGGUAGCUUCUCCUUUAUCUUCUCCUUCAAACCCUUCUUCUUCCUCCUUCCGCCAUAUCCAUCAUCUUCAGACUAUUCAUACACACAUCAUAAUCAAAUAAAC
rnacentral:lncRNA from 1 species